UCUGGGGGGUGGGAAAGCGGCUCCUUCCCGCCUCUGUUCAGCGGGGCAUGCAGUGCUGUGGUUUUUUCCCUGGGCAGGCUGACACAUUGUGGCCUCCAAGCAAAGCACCUAGAGCAGCUCUGCAAGGCUCUGGGAGGAAGCUGCCACCUCGGUCACCUCCACCUCGACUUCUCAGGCAAUGCUCUGGGGGAUGAAGGUGCAGCCCAGCUGGCUCAGCUGCUCCCAGGGCUGGGAGCUCUGCAGUCCUUGAACCUCAGUGAGAACGGUUUGUCCCUGGAUGCCGUGUUGGGUUUGGCUCAGUGCUUCUCCACUCUGCAGUGGCUCUUCCACUUGGACAUCAGCUUUGAGAGCCAACACAUUCUCCUGAGAGGGGACAAGACAGGCAGCCUCAGUGAGUGUCCUCUGGAGCCCCCAAGCCUCACCCGCCUCUGUGCCACUCUGAAGGACUGCCCGGGACCCUUGGAACUCCAAUUGUCCUGCGAGUUCCUGAGUGACCAGAGCCUGGAGACUCUGCUGGACUGCCUACCUCAACUCCCUCAGCUGAGCCUGCUGCAGCUGAGCCAGACGGGACUGUCCCUGAAAAGCCCCUUCCUGCUGGCCAACACCUUAAGCCUGUGUCCACGGGUUAAAAAGGUGGAUCUCAGGUCCCUACACCAUGCAACCUUGCACUUCAGAUCCAACGAGGAGGAGGAAGGCGUGUGCUGUGGGUUCACGGGCUGCAGCCUCAGCCAGGAGCAUGUGGAGUCACUGUGCUGGUUGCUGAGCAAGUGUAAAGACCUCAGCCAGGUGGAUCUGAGUCACAACAGCGUUUCUCAGGAAAGUGCCCUGUACCUGGUGGAGACCCUGCCCUCCUGCCCACGUGUCCGGGAGGCCUCAGUGAACCUGGGCUCUGAGCAGAGCUUCCGGAUUCACUUCUCCAGAGAGGACCAGGCUGGGAAGACACUCAGGCUGAGUGAGUGCAGCUUCCGGCCAGAGCAUGUGUCCAGGCUGGCCACCGGCUUGAGCCAGUCCCUGCAGCU
rnacentral:sRNA from 1 species